GCUGUGACAUGAUGUAAACAAAAGGCCGAAUUAUAGUGUUCCUGCCUGGCAGUAUGCUGUCAGUGCGGGGGCGCGUUGACAAAAACUAGACCGAAGCGUUUAUCUGAUCCCAGC
ensembl:snoRNA